AUUGAACGCUGGCGGCGUGCUUAACACAUGCAAGUCGAUCGGUAACUCGGGGGCAACCCUGGCGACGAGAGGCGGACGGGUGAGGAACGCUUGGGAAUCUGCCCUUCAGCGGGGGACAACCCGGGGAAACUCGGGCUAAUACCGCAUACGCUCCACGGAGGAAAGCCGGGGACCGCAAGGCCUGGCACUGAAGGAUGAGCCCAAGUCGGAUUAGCUAGUUGGCGGGGUAACGGCCCACCAAGGCGACGAUCCGUAGCUGGUCUGAGAGGACGAUCGGCCACACUGGGACUGAGACACGGCCCAGACUCCUACGGGAGGCAGCAGUGGGGAAUAUUGGACAAUGGGCGAAAGCCUGAUCCAGCGACGCCGCGUGGGUGAAGAAGGCCUGCGGGUUGUAAAGCCCUUUCGGUAGGGACGAAAGCCUCCGACCUAACACGUCGGGGGGUUGACUUAACCUACAGAAGAAGCACCGGCUAACUCUGUGCCAGCAGCCGCCGUAAAAC
rnacentral:rRNA from 1 species